rnacentral:lncRNA from 1 species
GGGAGCGGGGUGGGGCGGCUUAUAGGUUCUGAGAAGGGGGGAAUUAGGGUGCCUGAAAUUAGACUCCCCAGUUUCCCGGUUUCUUUCACAUUUGAAAUUAUGCAGAUUGACUCUCGUUUCCCUCCCUCCUUAGGGGGGCAAAUCCUCCAACGCGAACCUGAUCGCUUGUCACAGAAGCAACUUGCCAUGAAAUCCGCUAAUGCGCCGCGACUCGCCCACCGGGGUAAGCCAGUCUCACAAGCGCGUGCGGGGGGAGGGGGGUGGGUAAGCCGGGGCAGGGGCUCCAGGGGCCCUGCCAUUCAGGUCCACUGCUGAGCUUGUGGCCAGGCAAACAGGGUGGGAGCCGAGGGCGGAGGGCAGAAGCCGCGUCACGGCCUGGGUGCCGAGCGGGGGCGCCCCCCUCCCGCCUGCCCUCCCAGCCACGACCGCUAACGGGUCCUCCUGGCGAGUUUAAAGUAGCAAAUGAGGGCAGGGAGGAGGACUCCCAAGCAGGGAGUAAAUAUCCCGGCGUGCCCAGCUGGGUGGCCGGUACGCGAGCGCGUAUGCGGUUUGUGCGCGGUUCUCCUGCGAAGCAGCGUGAGGAUGCAGAACAGCACCUGCAUUGGUGCGCGUUGUGGAACUGGAGCCCUCGGAAUUCACAUACGGGGGUAGUGGGGAAUUACCCCGAUUGGAACUUGUCUCCACAUCCCUAGAGAGCUUCCCGCUUUCUGAAUCUCCCAGGUUGCUCGGUUGGCUCUCCAAAUUCAGCCCAAACCUGCUAAAGAUGAUCACAGGCCACUAUUCUUGCAACACUGACCAUUAUCUCAGUGGCAGAACCAGUUUCUCUGGUGAGAGAGCAAAAAGCGGCGGCUAAAUUUAUUUUCUUUCUUUUCUUUUCUUUCUUUUCUUUUUUUGAAGUUGUGAGAAAUUGUAGGCUUCUUAAACCCAUAGAAGCAGCCGAACACGUAUUUGCCCAUGUUCUUUGCUUAUAUUGGUUCCGGUGCUGGAAGCUGUCAAUCCAUGAGCUUUUUCGUUGUACUCGUUCUAUGCAGAGCACUCGGGAUAUUUUUCUCAUCUUUUAAACCUUUGUAUCUUAAAAAAUAUAUAGAAUGCUCUCCUGAUUGUUUCAUAAUAGGUUUCUUAAAGACUAGAUAUGUAGAGGGAGUGUUUGGGAUUGAAUGGUAAAAAAAAGCAGACUGGAAGGUACAAAUAAUAAACCCAGUGCAAAUUGAAAACAAAUUGAACAAACGAAAUGGUUAUGAAAGAAGAUGAGGGAAUUAACUAGGCUGGGAAGAAUAGGUUUAAGGUCUGAAGUUUGCAGAUUUAAUGUCCAUAGGUAACAAAAAAUUGAAAAGAAUUAAAUCUAUGCCUUUGCCUGUGUGUGCACAACCAAAGAGCACACAUCCUCCUGGGUAUCUUGGUCAAGUGCACAUUUAUUUCAAGGCAUUUCAAAGGGCAAUUCAGCUUUGAGAUGCUUUCCUGUUUUGGGCAAACUACAACUAGUUAGGUGACCUUUAGUUCUGGGUGGAAAACAAUUUAAAAUUUAUUUCCGGCUGUAGAAAAAAAGUAAAAUUUUUACAACUCUGAUAGUUAAAUUAUUACAGGUUUCUAAGGAGUUAAUUUGAUGUAAAUAACCUACUCUUCUGUGAGCACAGGAGUAACUUAGAGGCCUUGGCUACAAGAAGCUUCUGUCUGAUAGUGACAGCUUUGUGUGUCUGAGGGGAGUGUGAGGAGGCUCUGAACCUAGCUUUGGGUUUGUUGCAUCCCUCUCCCUCUCUUAAAACAGUAACUCAAGAUGUAAGUAAAAGUGUUUUCAUUUUUUAUUGAUCCUGCUAACAUCUUUCAUUAUCCAGCAUGUAGCCACAGCAAAUUAUUGCUCAUUUGAUACCGAGAAUUCUAUUGACCAUCGCUUUCAUUGGAGAGAGAAUUCUAACUACUCUGCUGCUGUAUAGUCAGUCAAAGCUAAGGCUGAGGACGUUCCUCUGCUAAAACUGAAGUAAAUUGAGCCCUCUGCCUCCAGGAAUUGAUGGAGAUAUGUUCAUUACAUUGGGCCACGUGAACAUGCAUAGAAAUCUGCUUUUUACUCUGCUGACCUUGCCCCCAUUCAUGCAAAAGGUCGGCCCCUUUGGAACAGAUCUGCCGUCUUGGAGGGCUAGGUAUUCGUUUGCC